CUACGAAAACUGCACAAUGUGGGAAACCACGAUGCGGGCAUUCCGAGUGCCAAGGCUUUGCUUUGGCUGUUCCCUCGCCUAAAAAGCGAGAGAAGUAAGGGCCGGGUAAGACGGGUGCCAGCCGCCGCGGUAAUACCCGCGGCCCGAGUGGUGCUCAUUAUUAUUGAGCUUAAAGCGUCCGUAGCCGGCCUCGUAAAUCCUUGGGUAAAUCGGGCAGCUCAACUGUUCGAAUUCCGAGGAGACUGUGAGGCUCGGGGACCGGGAGAGGUUAGAGGUACUCUCGGGGUAGGGUAAAAUCCUGUAAUCCUGAGAGGACCACCAGUGGCGAAGGCGUCUAACUAGAACGGAUCCGACGGUGUGGGACGAAGCCCUGGGGCGCAAACGGGAUUAGAUACCCCGGUAGUCCAGGGUGUAAACGCUGCGGGCUUGGUGUCGGAGGUCCUACGAGGGCGUCCGGUGCCGGAGAGAAAUUGUUAAGCCUGCCGCUUGGGGAGUACGGUCGCAAGACUGAAACUUAAAGGAAUUGGACGGGGGAGCACCGGCAAACGGGAGGAGCGGUGCGGUUCAAGUU
rnacentral:rRNA from 1 species